CCAGGAAAAGCCUCUAAGCAUCAGGUAACACGAAAUCGUACCCCAAACCGACACAGGUGGUCAGGUAGAGAAUACCAAGGCGCUUGAGAGAACUCGGGUGAAGGAACUAGGCAAAAUGGUGCCGUAACUUCGGGAGAAGGCACGCUGACACGUAGGUGAAGUGAUUUACUCAUGGAGCUGAAGUCAGUCGAAGAUACCAGCUGGCUGCAACUGUUUAUUAAAAACACAGCACUGUGCAAACACGAAAGUGGACGUAUACGGUGUGACGCCUGCCCGGUGCCGGAAGGUUAAUUGAUGGGGUCAGCGCAAGCGAAGCUCCUGAUCGAAGCCCCGGUAAACGGCGGCCGUAACUAUAACGGUCCUAAGGUAGCGAAAUUCCUUGUCGGGUAAGUUCCGACCUGCACGAAUGGCGUAAUGAUGGCCAGGCUGUCUCCACCCGAGACUCAGUGAAAUUGAACUCGCUGUGAAGAUGCAGUGUACCCGCGGCAAGACGGAAAGACCCCGUGAACCUUUACUAUAGCUUGACACUGAACAUUGAGCCUUGAUGUGUAGGAUAGGUGGGAGGCUUUGAAGUGUGGACGCCAGUCUGCAUGGAGCCGACCUUGAAAUACCACCCUUUAAUGUUUGAUGUUCUAACGUGGACCCGUAAUCCGGGUUGCGGACAGUGUCUGGUGGGUAGUUUGACUGGGGCGGUCUCCUCCUAAAGAGUAACGGAGGAGCACGAAGGUUGGCUAAUCCUGGUCGGACAUCAGGAGGUUAGUGCAAUGGCAUAAGCCAGCUUGACUGCGAGCGUGACGGCGCGAGCAGGUGCGAAAGCAGGUCAUAGUGAUCCGGUGGUUCUGAAUGGAAGGGCCAUCGCUCAACGGAUAAAAGGUACUCCGGGGAUAACAGGCUGAUACCGCCCAAGAGUUCAUAUCGACGGCGGUGUUUGGCACCUCGAUGUCGGCUCAUCACAUCCUGGGGCUGAAGUAGGUCCCAAGGGUAUGGCUGUUCGCCAUUUAAAGUGGUACGCGAGCUGGGUUUAGAACGUCGUGAGACAGUUCGGUCCCUAUCUGCCGUGGGCGCUGGAGAACUGAGGGGGGCUGCUCCUAGUACGAGAGGACCGGAGUGGACGCAUCACUGGUGUUCGGGUUGUCAUGCCAAUGGCACUGCCCGGUAGCUAAAUGCGGAAGAGAUAAGUGCUGAAAGCAUCUAAGCACGAAACUUGCCCCGAGAUGAGUUCUCCCUGAGACUUAGAGUCUCCUGAAGGAACGUUGAAGACGACGACGUUGAUAGGCCGGGUGUGUAAGCGCAGCGAUGCGUUGAGCUAACCGGUACUAAUGAACCGUGAGGCUUAACCUUACA
rnacentral:rRNA from 1 species